rnacentral:snoRNA from 1 species
GUCUAUAAUAUUGGACCAAUCCAUGGCCUUUUUUGAAACAUUCUCUCCGGACAUUAAUUGAGACAGAUAUUAAUGCUUGCUGUCUAUCUCUAUAGACUUGGAGUUUGGCUUUCUUGUCACAUUU